rnacentral:rRNA from 1 species
UACGAAGGGGGCUAGCGUUGCUCGGAAUUAUUGGGCGUAAAGCGCACGUAGGCGGUUUUCUAAGUCUGGGGUGAAAUCCUGGAGCUCAACUCCAGAACUGCCUUCGAUACUGGAGAGCUCGAGUCCGGGAGAGGUGAGUGGAACUGCGAGUGUAGAGGUGAAAUUCGUAGAUAUUCGCAAGAACACCAGUGGCGAAGGCGGCUCACUGGCCCGGUACUGACGCUGAGGUGCGAAAGCGUGGGGAGCAAACAGG